GAUGAACGCUGGCGGCGUGCUUAACACAUGCAAGUCGAACGAAGCACUUUAUUUGAUUUCCUUCGGGACUGAUUAUUUUGUGACUGAGUGGCGGACGGGUGAGUAACGCGUGGGUAACCUGCCUUGUACAGGGGGAUAACAGUUGGAAACGGCUGCUAAUACCGCAUAAGCGCACAGCAUCGCAUGAUGCAGUGUGAAAAACUCCGGUGGUAUAAGAUGGACCCGCGUUGGAUUAGCUAGUGGGUGAGGUAACGGCCCACCAAGGCGACGAUCCAUAGCCGACCUGAGAGGGUGACCGGCCACAUUGGGACUGAGACACGGCCCAAACUCCUACGGGAGGCAGCAGUGGGGAAUAUUGCACAAUGGGCGAAAGCCUGAUGCAGCGACGCCGCGUGAGCGAAGAAGUAUUUCGGUAUGUAAAGCUCUAUCAGCAGGGAAGAUAAUGACGGUACCUGACUAAGAAGCACCGGCUAAAUACGUG
rnacentral:rRNA from 1 species